rnacentral:rRNA from 1 species
AGCUCGAUGAGUAGGGCGGGACACGUGGUAUCCUGUCUGAAUAUGGGGGGACCAUCCUCCAAGGCUAAAUACUCCUGACUGACCGAUAGUGAACCAGUACCGUGAGGGAAAGGCGAAAAGAACCCCGGCGAGGGGAGUGAAAAAGAACCUGAAACCGUGUACGUACAAGCAGUGGGAGCACAGGUUUACCUGUGUGACUGCGUACCUUUUGUAUAAUGGGUCAGCGACUUAUAUUCUGUAGCAAGGUUAACCGCAUAGGGGAGCCGGAGGGAAACCGAGUCUUAAUUGGGCGUUAAGUUGCAGGGUAUAGACCCGAAACCCGGUGAUCUAGCCAUGGGCAGGUUGAAGGUUGGGUAACACUAACUGGAGGACCGAACCGACUAAUGUUGAAAAAUUAGCGGAUGACCUGUGGCUGGGGGUGAAAGGCCAAUCAAACCGGGAGAUAGCUGGUUCUCCCCGAAAGCUAUUUAGGUAGCGCCUCGUGAAUUCAUCUCCGGGGGUAGAGCACUGUUUCGGCUAGGGGGCCAUCCCGGCUUACCAACCCGAUGCAAACUGCGAAUACCGGAGAAUGUUAUCACGGGAGACACACGGCGGGUGCUAACGUCCGUCGUGAAGAGGGAAACAACCCAGACCGCCAGCUAAGGUCCCAAAGUCAUGGUUAAGUGGGAAACGAUGUGGGAAGGCCCAGACAGCCAGGAUGUUGGCUUAGAAGCAGCCAUCAUUUAAAGAAAGCGUAAUAGCUCACUGGUCGAGUCGGCCUGCGCGGAAGAUGUAACGGGGCUAAACCAU